AAUGGAACCAGUAACAAAACAAACAAUCAUGAGGGCAUGCGAUGAAUUUGUUGAAUUUGUUUGCAGAGGCUCCCAUUACAACUUUGAAGUCAUCUGUCAGGAAGACCUCUGUGCCUCAGUUAUGAACCAGGUUGUGAUUAUGACAUACUUUGGAAAAACUGGUAUGACAUUGGCCAUAGACUAUGAAAUUCACUUUGCAUGAAGAACAUGUUCAAUGGUGGAUGUGAAGCUGUUUCCUCUGGAAAGGAGGUAUUUGGAAGUCAGACUGAUUGUUUAAUUAAUUAAGUAAGCUGUUUAUCUUUUUUAAAAAAAUAUUGUAUUUAUUUAUUUAGACAGAGAGUCUGUGCAUGAACCAGGAGAGGGGCAAAGGGGAGGGAGAGAGAGAAUCUUGAGCAGGCUCCCCGUUGAGCACAGAGCUCAGUCUUAGGACCUUGAGAUUAUGACCUGAGCUGAAACCAAGAGUCCAAUGGCUGAGUCCCCCAGGUGCCCCUAAGCUGUUUAUUUAUAAACUACCUGCUGCUAGCAUGCUAUGCUCCCCAUACAGCCCACCUGCUGUGUGUUGAGAGUAUUUUGGAUUUGGCAGCUUUCUCAGUCUUCCCACCCAGUUCUGGGCAUCCCUCCCAAGUUACUUAGAGACGUUAUAAGGGAAGUAAUUCCUGAAUACUCCAUGGCUCUGACAGUUUUGUACGACAUCUGGUGAGCCUCCUUCUGUGACCUGUAUAUCUCUUGGGGUUGGGUUCACAGAUACUAUAGAAUGCAUUUCCAUGUGGGAAGAGGGGAUGGACCAUAAGGGAAUGUCAGGAUCCUGAUGUCCUCCAUACGGCAUUCCUGUGUGAUGUCAAAGAUGGAAUGGGUUAAUGAUCUGCAACUAGUAACCAGCUCUUUUAAUUCUUAUUGGCAAGAAAGGCAAUAAUCAAAUGACUCCUAUGGGAAUGAAUUAUAAUGAUGUUAGCAAUAAGCCUUCAAGUGAAUUAUGCUAAUUAAUUUCUGUAGGUCAGCAUUAUCCAUCACCUCUAUCAUAAAAGGCAGGGAAGCCUCAAUCCAGA
rnacentral:lncRNA from 1 species